GAUGAACGCUGGCGGCGUGCCUAAUACAUGCAAGUCGAGCGAACAGACGAGGAGCUUGCUCCUCUGACGUUAGCGGCGGACGGGUGAGUAACACGUGGAUAACCUACCUAUAAGACUGGGAUAACUUCGGGAAACCGGAGCUAAUACCGGAUAAUAUAUUGAACCGCAUGGUUCAAUAGUGAAAGACGGUUUUGCUGUCACUUAUAGAUGGAUCCGCGCCGCAUUAGCUAGUUGGUAAGGUAACGGCUUACCAAGGCAACGAUGCGUAGCCGACCUGAGAGGGUGAUCGGCCACACUGGAACUGAGACACGGUCCAGACUCCUACGGGAGGCAGCAGUAGGGAAUCUUCCGCAAUGGGCGAAAGCCUGACGGGGCAACGCCGCGUGAGUGAUGAAGGUCUUCGGAUCGUAAAACUCUGUUAUUAGGGAAGAACAAAUGGGUAAGUAACUAUGCACGUCUUGACGGUACCUAAUCAGAAAGCCACGGCUAACUACGUG
rnacentral:rRNA from 1 species